UUUGGGACAUUCUGUUCAGUCCUCUUUUCCCAGGCAGCCCCACGCCACUCCGAGUCCUGGAUGGAGGGUGGUCACUCCCAGGGGUGGGUCAGGAUGAGUCUGUGACCUGUGAGGCCUGUGCAUCCCAGCCCUCCCAGCAAGCAGGGAGAGAGGAGUGAGGCCCAGCUGGCUGCAGGCAGUGAGCCGAAGAACCCAAGAGGCCUCUGCUGCUCUUAUACCCUCGCAUUUUGCCAUAGCUGAAUUUUAAAUCUCAGCGUCAGACUAUCGAUGUUCACUCAGAGGACGGUAGCAGAAUCAUUAACUCUUACUACAAAGCCAAGCGCAGAAGGGGGUGUUGAUUCCUUCAAAAAGUGGCUUCCAGAUCAAGAGGAUGGAUGAGCACAUAAACCUUGAGACUAAGCAAAGUUUCAGAACAAAAUACACAUUUUGGACGCCCUGGCAAUGAAAAAGCAAAAGUCUAUAGAAAACACUAAGAGGAAGAAGAUGGAAGGAUUGCUGAAGAGAUGGCAGGGCAUUCACGUGCUCACUUUAAGAAGGCAGUCAGGGGAUAUUUCCCAUAGUUGAUCAGAUAAGAGAUUAUAAAAAUGGUAAAAACAACUAUACAGGAUGAAAAUCCAUGGUAUAAAUAUAUUAGGAGGAGAGAGAAAAAGGAAUUUAAAAUUCUCUGGUGAACUUAGUUGUCUCUCACUGCAGGAGGCCAGUAGGUAAUGCCUUUCAUUUUUAAACUCCUUUAGUUUUAUUUUUGGAUAAUGUCUAACUUUGAAAACUAAAAACAUAACCAAUUAAGGUGUUACGAUAACUAUUUUGCGCCAAAAAUUAAUCUUUCUGUCGGCAGGUGUCAAGCUAGGGAAGAGUUUGGUAGAUAUGCUUGCGUUUUACUACAGACUAUUGAUAUUACUUGAACU